AUUGAACGCUGGCGGCAGGCCUAACACAUGCAAGUCGAGCGGAUGAAGGGAGCUUGCUCCUGGAUUCAGCGGCGGACGGGUGAGUAAUGCCUAGGAAUCUGCCUGGUAGUGGGGGAUAACGUCCGGAAACGGGCGCUAAUACCGCAUACGUCCUGAGGGAGAAAGUGGGGGAUCUUCGGACCUCACGCUAUCAGAUGAGCCUAGGUCGGAUUAGCUAGUUGGUGGGGUAAAGGCCUACCAAGGCGACGAUCCGUAACUGGUCUGAGAGGAUGAUCAGUCACACUGGAACUGAGACACGGUCCAGACUCCUAAGGGAGGCAGCAGUGGGGAAUAGUGGACAAUGGGCGAAAGCCUGAUCCAGCCAUGCCGCGUGUGUGAAGAAGGUCUUCGGAGUGUAAAGCACUUUAAGUUGGGAGGAAGGGCAGUAAGUUAAUACCUUGCUGUUUUGACGUUACCAACAGAAUAAGCACCGGCUAACUUCGUG
rnacentral:rRNA from 1 species